ACAGUGCCCCGGCCUGUCGCUGGCAUCCGCAAGAGUGCAAGAGGAAAGUCCGGGCAGCGCAAGGCGCUCCACUUCUGAAAAUGGAAGCUGCCGGUAACGGUAGGUGAAGGUAGAAGAAAACAACCGCCAUUCUGUGAAACUGCAGGCAUCCUAUGAUCCUGUAAGUCGGAAGAGGCAAGGGUGAGAAGGUGGUGCAAGAGACCACCAGCCGGCGGGUGACCGCCGUGGCUGUACCGUCUGGAGGCUGCAAGUUCGCGUAAACCAUCGUCAUGUCCAGGGCCGCCUGCCCGAUGCUUCCUCGAAAGCAACGAUGGAGGGUAGAAUGCUGAAGCUGUAGGGUGACUUACAGAUUAGAUAAAUGACAAGGCUCCUCACCAUAGUGAGGGUACAGAACCCGGCUUAUCAGGGCACUGUCUUA
rnacentral:RNase_P_RNA from 2 species